rnacentral:rRNA from 1 species
AGCGAACGCUGGCGGCAGGCUUAACACAUGCAAGUCGAGCGGGCGUAGCAAUACGUCAGCGGCAGACGGGUGAGUAACGCGUGGGAACGUAACUUUUGGUUCGGAACAACACAGGGAAACUUGUGCUAAUACCGGAUAAACCCUUACGGGGAAAGAUUUAUCGCCGAAAGAUCGGCCCGCGUCUGAUUAGCUAGUUGGUGAGGUAAUGGCUCACCAAGGCGACGAUCAGUAGCUGGUCUGAGAGGAUGAUCAGCCACAUUGGGACUGAGACACGGCCCAAACUCCUACGGGAGGCAGCAGUGGGGAAUAUUGGACAAUGGGGGCAACCCUGAUCCAGCCAUGCCGCGUGAGUGAUGAAGGCCCUAGGGUUGUAAAGCUCUUUUGUGCGGGAAGAUAAUGACGGUACCGCAAGAAUAAGCCCCGGCUAACUUCGUGCCAGCCGCCGCGGUAAGAC